UGCGUAGGCGGCUGCGCAAGUCGGGUGUGAAACCCCGGGGCUCAACCCGGAACUGCAUCCGAUACUGCGUGGCUAGAGGUAGGUAGGGGAGAUCGGAAUUCCUGGUGUAGCGGUGAAAUGCGCAGAUAUCAGGAGGAACACCGGUGGCGAAGGCGGAUCUCUGGGCCUUACCUGACGCUCAGGCACGAAAGCUGGGAGCGAACA
rnacentral:rRNA from 1 species